AAAUUGAAGAGUUUGAUCAUGGCUCAGAUUGAACGCUGGCGGCAGGCCUAACACAUGCAAGUCGAACGGUAACAGGAAGCAGCUUGCUGCUUCGCUGACGAGUGGCGGACGGGUGAGUAAUGUCUGGGAAACUGCCUGAUGGAGGGGGAUAACUACUGGAAACGGUGGCUAAUACCGCAUAACGUCGCAAGACCAAAGAGGGGGACCUUCGGGCCUCUUGCCAUCAGAUGUGCCCAGAUGGGAUUAGCUUGUUGGUGAGGUAACGGCUCACCAAGGCGACGAUCCCUAGCUGGUCUGAGAGGAUGACC
rnacentral:rRNA from 1 species